ensembl:lncRNA
GCGCAGGACAGCAGCGAUCCUGAGGGGGAGCUUCUGGAGGUGAGUGCAGCAGGAGUUUAAUAGCUCAAAGUAGAGAAGUCAUUAAGGCAGCAGAUUACAGCGGCAGUAACAGUGGCACUUGCUUUGCUCCUAUAGAGUAAUUAACCAGUUUGGGUUUGAGACUGAAAGUUCUCUUUUUUAGAUUUAUAUUUUAGCACAUGUACAUAUCUUUUAAUUGGCUUGUAAACAAUGACGAUGGAUAAAUAAAAUCUUUUUUUUUUCAAGCAUCGGUAAAGAUUAUGGUAAUGAGACAGAUAAAGUCAGUAUCAUUACCCCAAAGAUUUAUCAGCCCUCUGUUUCACAUGGAAGCAGGAAGGGUGGUUGAGGAGGGGAUAAGGAGAGAGGAGGUGAAGGCAGCUGGCCCACGCGCUGGAAGCAACCGGAUAUUUGGCUCGAUUUAUCCUGGCUGGGAGCCUCAGCAGUGCUGCACUAACCACAUGUCCUUCUUGCUCACCUGACAUGGCUCAUUCCUCCAUCAGCAUGACACCUACAUUCCACCAUGGGGCCUCUGUAUCUUUCUUCCUACACACAUACGGAUUAAAAAUAUAAAGAAAAGUACUGGCACUUUUAGAAGUAACUGCACUCAUUGGAUUAAACGCUUCAGGGCAAAGUUUUGUACUAUGUGCAUUCUGCUGGUAACCCUGCAACAUAAAGAAGGAGGUUAUGGUUCAAGGCACUGUUUGGCACAGUGCUUGGCAGCAAGGAAUGAAAUCACCGGCAUCUUAUAGUUCUAUUUUUUAUAUUUGGUAUGUGGAUUUGAACCCACAAUCACAGGGAUCUGCAUUGUCAUUGUUGGUAUUUCUCUGUCUGUUUGGUUCCUGAUUUACUGAUCCUAUCAGUUCUUUAGUUUUUAGCAUGGCAAUUCUAACCAAGGGUAGGAUUUAUUCUGAAUGGGCUCCAGGAUGGCCAAAGGUUUCAUAUUAAACUGACCCCCGUCUUAUUAUAUAAUACUAAUAUAUUAAUGCCUGGUACCUCAGUUUCCAAGCAGAACAUCACCUUGAGCGCUAUACUCACCUAUUUGAAUGCUGUUUCCUUCGUACUGUUUGUAUUCACAGAUACCAUCACCGAUUUUAGUAAUUAAUUUCUCCACCAGUCUUAGACUGCCGUCUUUUGAAUAUAGGCAAUAAAUGUUCUGUUCUUUUUAAAGAUGGAUGAAGUUUAAAUCUGUGGUCUGUAAGAAAGGAUGGGAAAUUACAGAUGUGAUACUUAAGAUGGGCAAUUUACUAGGAUUAAAGGUGAAAGAUGUGUUUUACUGAAAAGUAUCACAAUACUGUAUUAGCUAAGGUGCUGCCUUUGAAUCUGGAUCUUAAAUCUGAGUUAGUUUUAUUCAGAAUUGUUGAAACAUAGUCUGCAUCUUCUUUUAACUAAUGAAAAUCAGAGAAUUUUGCAUAGGCUAAUGUCAUUCGCACGUAAUGACAUGCAACCAAGCAUAUUGCUGUGUUGCCCGCACGACCAGCACAUUUUAUGUUUUGUUUUAUUGCUUAAUUUUAGCUCCUGCGUUUUAAAUUCAUUUUGUGUUUGUUUUUUUCCCCCCAAUUUUUUCUGUCAGCCAAAGCUCC